GGCGAACGCUGGCGGCGUGCUUAACACAUGCAAGUCGAACGAUGAAGCCGGAGCUUGCUCUGGUGGAUUAGUGGCGAACGGGUGAGUAACACGUGAGUAACCUGCCCUUGACUCUGGGAUAAGCGUUGGAAACGACGUCUAAUACCGGAUACGAGCUAGGACCGCAUGGUCACUAGCUGGAAAGAAUUUCGGUCAAGGAUGGACUCGCGGCCUAUCAGUUAGUUGGUGAGGUAACGGCUCACCAAGACGACGACGGGUAGCCGGCCUGAGAGGGUGACCGGCCACACUGGGACGGAGACACGGCCCAGACGCCCGCGGGAGGCAGCAGUGGGGAAUAUUGCACAAUGGGCGCAAGCCUGAUGCAGCAACGCCGCGUGAGGGACGACGGCCUUCGGGUUGUAAACCUCUUUUAGCAGGGAAGAAGCGCAAGUGACGGUACCUGCAGAAAAAGCACCGGCUAACUACGUGCCAGCCGCCGCGGUAAAAC
rnacentral:rRNA from 1 species